AUGUACCUAUACAUUAUAUACGCACUUAUAGCGGCGCGUAGUACGCAGUGCGUUAUCGCGAAGAAAGCAAAAAUAGUUUACUUUUAACGGGCGAUAGCCAUAAUAAUAGUGUUACUAAAAACGUUAAAUGGCCCAUAAUUUAACGGUAUCGAAUUAAGCAAGUUAAGGAUAAAUACGGCCCGCGAACAGGCUGCUGCAGCGGCAGUGUAUAUAUAAGAUAAAAUAAUAAUAAUAUAAAGACGUUACGGUGUUUUUCUCCGAGCAAUUUAGGCCAAUACGCGGAGUUGGUGUAUGCGAGAGCACAUCAAAUGCCAUUAAAUACGGCGCGGCGAAGAACGGCGGACGGCGACGACGACGACGACGACGACGGGUUCCG